rnacentral:rRNA from 1 species
UACGUAGGGGGCAAGCGUUGUUCGGAAUUAUUGGGCGUAAAGAGCUCGUAGGCGGUCUGUCGCGUCCGUUGUGAAAACUCGAGGCUCAACCUCGGGCUUGCAGUGGAUACGGGCAGACUAGAGUGCGGUAGGGGAGACUGGAAUUCCUGGUGUAGCGGUGGAAUGCGCAGAUAUCAGGAGGAACACCGAUGGCGAAGGCAGGGCUCUGGGCCGCAACUGACGCUGAGGAGCGAAAGCAUGGGGAGCGAACAGG